rnacentral:siRNA from 1 species
GAGAGUUUCAACAACAAGCGCGCU